rnacentral:rRNA from 1 species
AGUCCGGUCUGCUCCAUGAAAUUUAAAUAGCCGCAAUUCGUGCUAAGGUAGCAUAAUCAUUUGUCUUUUAAAUAAAGACUAGAACAAAAGACUUCAUAUUUAAAUAUACUUAUUUAAUUUAAUUAUUAAAUUUAUCCUAAAUAUAAAAAGAUAUUUAUAUAUAAAAAAGACGACAAGACCCUAUUGAACUUUAACUUAAGUUAAACUGGGGCAGUUAAUUAAUUAUUAUUUUAUUAUAAUAUUAUAAAUUAUUAUCCAUAAACUAUAAAUAAUUCAGUUACCAUAGGGAUAACAGCACUAUUUUAUUUUAAAGCUCUUAUAAAAAAAAAAGAUUGUGACCUCGAUGUUGAAUUAAUAACCUAUUUUCAAAGCAAAUUUUAAAAAAGGAAGUCUGUUCGACUUUUAAAAAAUUACAUGAUUUGAGUUCAGACCGGUGUAAGCCAGGUCGGUUUCUAUCUUUUAUAAAAAUUUCUACAGUACGAAAGGACCUAGAAAUACAAUUUUAUUGUAUAAAUUGGCAGAAAAAUGCAUUAGAAUUAGAAUCUAAUAAAACU